CCCGCUGAACUUAAGCAUAUCAAUAAGCGGAGGAAAAGAAACCAACAGGGAUUGCCCUAGUAACGGCGAGUGAAGCGGCAACAGCUCAAAUUUGAAAUCUGGCUCCUUUGGUGCCCGAGUUGUAAUUUGCAGAGGGUGCUUUGGUGUUGGCUGUGGUCCAAGUUCCCUGGAACAGGACGUCACAGAGGGUGAGAACCCCGUACGUGGCCGCCAGUCUUCGCCGUGUAAAGCCCCUUCGACGAGUCGAGUUGUUUGGGAAUGCAGCUCUAAAUGGGAGGUAAAUUCCUUCUAAAGCUAAAUAUUGGCCAGAGACCGAUAGCGCACAAGUAGAGUGAUCGAAAGAUGAAAAGCACUUUGGAAAGAGAGUGAAAUAGCACGUGAAAUUGUUGAAAGGGAAGCGCUUGGAGCCAGACGUGCCCGUAGUUGCUCAGCCGGGGUUCUCCCCGGUGCACUCUUCUGCGGGCAGGCCAGCAUCAGUUUGGGCGGUUGGACAAAGGCCUGCUAAACGUACCUCCCCCCGGGGAGGACUUAUAGGGUAGGCGGCAUACGACCAGCCCGGACUGAGGACCGCGCAUCUGCUAGGAUGCUGGCGUAAUGGCUGUAAGCGGCCCGUCUUGAAACACGG
rnacentral:rRNA from 1 species